rnacentral:rRNA from 1 species
UACGUAGGGUGCGAGCGUUGCCCGGAGUUACUGGGCGUAAAGCGCACGCAGGCGGUCUGCUAAGUUUGGAGUGACAGUUGGUGGCUUAACUGCCAAAGUGCUUCGAAAACUGACAGACUUGAGGGCUUCAGAGGGACACGGAAUUCCGGGUGGAGUGGUGAAAUGCGUAGAGAUCCGGAGGAACACCAAAGGCGAAGGCAGUGUCCUGGGGAGUACCUGACGCUCAGGUGCGAAAGCCAGGGGAGCGAACGGG